rnacentral:lncRNA from 1 species
AAAUAAAAUCUCUACACAUGACCUAUAAGUGUGUAUUCCCAUGAAUGAUUUCUAAGAAAUGGCACUGUACACUGAACGCAGUGGCUCACGUCUGUCAUCCCAGCACUUUGGCAGGCCGAGGUGGGUGGUUCACGAGGUCAGGAGUUCAAGACCAGCCUAGUCAUCAUGGUGAAACCCCGUCUCUACUGAAAAUAUGAAACCGAGUCGGGCGCAGUGGGGCAGGCACCUGUAAUCCCAGCUACUCGGGAGGUUGAGGCGGGAGAAUCGCUUGAACCUCGCAGGCGGAGGUUUCAGUGACCCAGGAUGGCGCCACUGCACUACAGCCUGGGCGACAGAGUGAGACUUGGUCUCCAAAUAAAUAAAUAAAUAAAUGAAAGAAAGAAAAGAAAAGAAAAGAAAAGAAAAGAAAAGAAAAGAAAAGAAAAGAAAACCAGAAAAGAAAGAAAAUGAAAGAAAAGUCACUGUAUCGCUACUGGGCUAGGACCUUCUCUCUGUCUGUUUCUCUUUGUCUCUCUCUGUCCGUCUCUGUCUUUCUCUAUCUGUCUCUUUCUCUGUCUGUCUGUCUGUCUCUUUCUUUCUCUCUGUCUCUGUCUCUCUCUCUCUCUCUCUCUGUGUCUGUCUUCUGUCUUACUGUCUUUCUCUGCCUGUCUGUCUCUCUCUCUCUCUCUCUCCUUGUCUGUUUCUCUCUCUCUCUGUCUCUGUUUCUCUCUGUCUCCCUCUGUCUGUCUCUGUCUUUCUCUCUCUGUCUCUCUCUGUCUAUCUCUCUCUUUCUUUCUCUCUGUCUGUCCAUCUGUCUCUGUUUGUGUGUGUGUGUCUGCCUUCUGUCUUACUCUCUUUCUCUGACUGUCUGCCUGUCUGUCUGUCUCUCUCUGUCUCUCUCUCUUUCUGUCUCUGUCUCUUUCUGUUUCUCUCUGUCUCUGUCCAUCUCUGUUUUUCUCUGUCUGUGUCUUUAUCUGUCUGUCUCUCUCUCUCUUUCUGUCUUUCUCUCUUUGUGUAUCUUUGUGUCUCUCUGUCUGUCUCUCUCUGUCUCUGUCAUUGUCUCUCUCUCUCUGUCUUUCUCUCUUUGUGUAUCUUUGUGUCUCUCUGUCUGUCUCUCUCUGUCUCUGUCAUUCUCUCUCUCUCUCUCUCUCUCUCUCUCUCUCUCUCUCUCUCUCUCUCUCUCGCCGGCUCUCUGGCUCUCGCUAUCUCCUGCCCUCUCUUUCUUUGCAAAAUAAGUUCAAGUACAUCUAAUCUAAUCC